GAUGAGUCGGAAAUGAUAGCCUGGGAGGGAGCAUGAAAAACGGCUGUAAUGGUAUCUGUUGUAGUUUUGGGUUUUGGAAGAAUGGUUUUAUAAUGAGGAUUCUACGGACUACAGAACAUGUACACAGGUUUCAGAGUAGCAGCCGUGUUAGUCUGUAUUC